rnacentral:rRNA from 1 species
AAACACCGAAGUUAAGCAUCAUUGGGCGCGGUCAGUACUUGGGUGGGUGACCACCUGGGAACACUGCGUGCCGUU